rnacentral:rRNA from 1 species
CAUGCGGGGGGCUGCAGUGGGGAAUAUUGGACAAUGGGCGAAAGCCUGAUCCAGCCAUGCCGCGUGUGUGAAGAAGGCCUUCGGGUUGUAAAGCACUUUCAGUGGGGAAGAAAGCCUUGGGGCUAAUACCCUCGAGGAAGGACAUCACCCACAGAAGAAGCACCGGCUAACUCCGUGCCAGCAGCCGCGGUAAUACGGAGGGUGCGAGCGUUAAUCGGAAUUACUGGGCGUAAAGCGCGCGUAGGCGGUCUGAUAAGCCGGCUGUGAAAGCCCCGGGCUCAACCUGGGAACGGCAUCCGGAACUGUCAGGCUAGAGUGCAGGAGAGGAAGGUAGAAUUCCCGGUGUAGCGGUGAAAUGCGUAGAGAUCGGGAGGAAUACCAGUGGCGAAGGCGGCCUUCUGGACUGACACUGACGCUGAGGUGCGAAAGCGUGGGUAGCAAACAGGAUUAGAUACCCUGGUAGUC